AUUGAACACUGGCGGCAUGCUCUACACAUGCAAGUCGAACGGUAACAGGCCGCAAGGUGCUGACGAGUGGCGAACGGGUGAGUAAUGCACCGGAACGUGCCCAGGCGUGGGGGAUAACUAGUCGAAAGAGUAGCUAAUACCCCAUACGAUCUAUGGAGGAAAGCGGGGGACCGUAAGGCCUCGCGCGCUUGGAGCGGCCGAUGUCGGAUUAGGUCUUUGGGGGGGUAAAGGCUCACCAAGCCAAGGUUCUGUACCUGUUCUGAGAGGAGGACCGGCCAACCUGGAAUUGAGCAACGGCCAGGACUCCUAGGGAAGGCGGCGGGGGGAAAUUUUGGACAAGGGGCGAAAGCCUGAUCCAGCAAUGCGGCGGGGAGGAAGAAGGCCUUCGGGUUGUAAACUGCUUUUGUACGGAACGAAACGGCUCUGGUUAAUACCCGGGGUUAAGGACGGUACCGUAAGAAUAAGCACCGGCUAACUACUG
rnacentral:rRNA from 1 species